UACGGAGGGUGCAAGCGUUGUUCGGAAUCACUGGGCGUAAAGCGCGUGUAGGCGGUCUGUUAAGUCUGAUGUGAAAGCCCGGGGCUCACCCCCGGAAGUGCAUUGGAAACUGCCAGACUGGAGUCCCGGAGAGGAGGGUGGAAUUCCUGGUGUAGCGGUGAAAUGCGUAGAUAUCAGGAGGGACACCGGUGGCGAAGGCGGCCCUCUGGACGGUGACUGACGCUGAGACGCGAAAGCGUGGGGAGCAAACAGG
rnacentral:rRNA from 1 species